rnacentral:lncRNA from 10 species
GUGACAUUUCAAUAAAGCUGAAUUGAAAAAAAACUAUGAUCCCUUGGAAAUUUUUAAGUACAUUAACUGUAUCUCAAAAAAUGAUGCUCAAUUCUUUUCCUUUGCCUCCUCAAUACUUCCUUAUGUCAGUCAGAUUUCAAUAUGUGAUUUAGGAGUCUCAGUUAUGUAGUCAUUAAAUAUCAUUGCUUAAGUACUGCUCUUGGUUAAAGGAAACUCAAGGAACUUAUUUCCCCGAAAUAAAAGCAUUACACUACAAAUCAAAAUCUAAAAGAAUGUUCCCAGAAUAUGCAGGGACUACUGACCUUUUGUCUAUUUGCUUUUUCUAUUAAUAUACGGUUCUAAAAUCAGCUUGUAAACUACAGCUCUCUACAUCAUUACUGAGAAAUCAGAAGGAAAUAUUUUAGAAAAAGAGCUACCUUUUGUGAGAAUUUUCUCAAGUUUCACUACUUGCUUUUUACAUGUCCAACUAGAAUGUGAUUCAUUUAUUCAUUCAUUUAUCCAUUCAAGAUAGAACUCCAGAAACACAAGAAGCUGAAGUUUUCCUUACCAUUGUUCCUCUCCGAUACAGCAGAGAAUUACCUCUUGGCAAAAGACACAAAACAGUCACACAACACCAUAAAGAAUUAAUGCAUUUCUCUUCUAAUGCAUAUUUUAUUUAGGAACUCUAUAGUAUCUGGUUCAAAUUCUAAAGGUCUGGCUACCAAGUGUUUGGCAAGCACAGAGUUCACCUACAAAAUUGAGCAACUAUAAGGGAAAAAAAAGUACUU